rnacentral:ncRNA from 1 species
UAUCUUUGCACCCGAAUUGGGACAGACUCAAUUCAUACAUAAUAAUCAUUUAAAUAAUAUUGGAAUG